ensembl:lncRNA
CUGCUGCACUGUGUGAGGUAAUAGGUAAACAUCUGAAAACUCUUGAGGGGAAGUUGUCAUUUUAUUUCUCUUCAGCCUCCACUGAAUGCCUUGACUGCUGUUGGAAAGGACAUGACUUUACAGGAGCAGGCGGAACUAACUGAACUGAAACAAGAUCGUGGUUUAAAGCUAAGAUUUGCUGAACUUCCUUUGGACAGUUUUUGGUUGACUGCUGCCAAGGAAUUCCCCAUUCUGGCCAACAAAGUUUUGACAUUGCUCCCAUUUUCCAGAACAUGUGUGCGAGCUUUUCAAGCCUAACUGCUAUAAAAACUAAAAACAGAGAGAGACUGAAAGCUGUUGAAGAGCUUCGUGUAUGCCUUUCUUCAAUUGCUGCCAGGAUAUCGGCUUUGUGUUCAUCUAAACAGGCCCAGGUUUCACACUGAGAAGCUGCAUUAAUCACGAUGAACCCAGGCUAUGCAGGCAGGACCGAGCUCCAGGACAACCUGGAGGCCCGCUUCAGAUCCGUCUCCAUGAUUGUACCCGACCACGCCGUCAUCGCAGAGAUGUGCUCUGGUGCCGUCAUUCAUUACAUUUUGUAAUGAACGCAAUAACGGAUGUAUUCUGGCGUAUUACAGAACCGUUUCCACGUUGAACCCGCUUGUUCACGUUGUAGGUGGACUUGUGAGCUGAGGGCUUCAAGUCCAGUGAGACUCUGGCGAGGAAGAUGAUUCAGCUGUAUAAGCUGUGCAGCAAGCAGCUUUCCCAGCAGGACCACUACGACUUCAGCAUGAGAGCCAUGUUCUGUUAUCGCCAUGGCCGGGUAUUUCCGUCUACGAACAGGAUGAACAGAUUAGAUUACAUUCAUUCGUUGUUUUUUCUAAGUUGUUAAUUAAAACUAUCUAUAAAUGUAACGGAUGUCUUGCUGGAAUAAAUUGAGUGUGUGUGUAUGUGUGUGUUCCAGGUCUCUGAAGCGAGAGAACCCACACCUGAGAACGUGGUGUUGAUUAGAGCGCUACGAUACUCCAACCUGACCAAGUUACUCAAGGAUGUUGCAGAACUUAAAAUAAUAUAAAUUGAUAAAUAGUAAAGAACGCCAAAGCUUACAUAUGGAGUAUCAAAGGUCAUUAUCACAGGAUCACUGGAAUCAGGCACUAGGAGGAAAUUCCAGGACAAAUUAGGAAAUACAGUCAAACCUUGGACUGCGAGUAACUUGGUUUGCGAGUGUUUUGCAAGACAAACAAAAAAUUUGAAUAAAUUUUAACGUGAUAUACGAGCGAGGUCUUGCAAUACGAGUACCUGUAGUACGUAUAUGAUGCUUUGUCGAGCGUCACGUGAUCACUACUGAGCUGAUGAUUCUUCUCUCACAUGCUCUGUCUCAGUCAGCGUGCCUCGUUGACUUGUAUAGUCAACAUCUGUGUGAGCAUAUACUGUUUGCUAUAGUGCUGUAACUGUUGUGACUGUGUAGUAAAUGUGCUGCGACAAUGGCACCAUGAAGAAAAAAUUUGAAAAGGAAGGCGAUAAGAAAAAGGAGAUUAUGGUGGAACUUAAGAAGGAAAUCAUCGAGAAGCACAAACAAGGUAUGCGAGUAGCUGAGUUGCGAGUAGUCAGUUGUCGAUGAAAUUGUGUCCUUGGGAAAGACCAUGGGACUGGAGAUGAAUGAAGAUGACAUUCAAGAGCUGGUGGAGGAACAUGGCCAGGAGCUGACUACCGAUGAACUGAUGGAUCUGCAUCACGAGCAACAGCAAGAGGUUAUGGGGGAGGUCUCGUCUGAGGAGGAGGAGGAGGAGGAGAAAAGACGGAGAAAUCCCUCACUUCAAAUGAGAUUAGGGAGGUGUGUAAAAUGUGGGAAACAGCGCAAAAUUUUGUAGAAAAGCACCACCCGAGUAAGACUGUAGCAGUGCGAGCAAUGAAUCUGUUUAACGACAAUGUAAUGUCACAUUUCCGCGAAAUCCUUAAAAGGAGGUAAAAGCAAGUGUCACUGGAUAGGUUCCUUGUUAACGUCGUACAAAAAGAAAAAGAUUCCGGCGAGCCAACAGACAGCAGUGAUUCCAUUAGUAACAGUGAAAGUCCC